UAUUGCACAAUGGGGGAAACCCUGAUGCAGCGACGCCGCGUGAAGGAAGAAGUAUCUCGGUAUGUAAACUCCUAUCAGCAGGGAAGACAAUGACGGUACCUGACUAAGAAGCUCCGGCUAACUACGUGCCAGCAGCCGCGGUAAUACGUAGGGGGCAAGCGUUAUCCGGAUUUACUGGGUGUAAAGGGAGCGUAGACGGAAGAGCAAGUCUGAUGUGAAAGGCUGGGGCGUAACCCCAGGACUGCAUUGGAAACUGUUGUUCUAGAGUGACGGGGAGGUAAGCGGAAUUCCUAGUGUAGCGGUGAAAUGCGUAGAUAUUAGGAGGAACACCAGUGGCGAAGGCGGCUUACUGGACAGUAACUGACGUUGAGGCUCGAAAGCGUGGGGAGCAAACA
rnacentral:rRNA from 1 species